GCUCAGGAUGAACGCUGGCGGCGUGCCUAAUACAUGCAAGUCGAACGAGUUCUGAUUAUUGAAAGGUGCUUGCAUCUUGAUUUUAAUUUUGAACGAGUGGCGGACGGGUGAGUAACACGUGGGUAACCUGCCCUUAAGUGGGGGAUAACAUUUGGAAACAGAUGCUAAUACCGCAUAAAUCCAAGAACCGCAUGGUUCUUGGCUGAAAGAUGGCGUAAGCUAUCGCUUUUGGAUGGACCCGCGGCGUAUUAGCUAGUUGGUGAGGUAACGGCUCACCAAGGCAAUGAUACGUAGCCGAACUGAGAGGUUGAUCGGCCACAUUGGGACUGAGACACGGCCCAAACUCCUACGGGAGGCAGCAGUAGGGAAUCUUCCACAAUGGACGCAAGUCUGAUGGAGCAACGCCGCGUGAGUGAAGAAGGCUUUCGGGUCGUAAAACUCUGUUGUUGGAGAAGAAUGGUCGGCAGAGUAACUGUUGUCGGCGUGACGGUAUCCAACCAGAAAGCCACGGCUAACUACGUGCCAGCAGCCGCGGUAAUACGUAGGUGGCAAGCGUUAUCCGGAUUUAUUGGGCGUAAAGCGAGCGCAGGCGGUUUUUUAAGUCUGAUGUGAAAGCCCUCGGCUUAACCGAGGAAGUGCAUCGGAAACUGGGAAACUUGAGUGCAGAAGAGGACAGUGGAACUCCAUGUGUAGCGGUGAAAUGCGUAGAUAUAUGGAAGAACACCAGUGGCGAAGGCGGCUGUCUGGUCUGUAACUGACGCUGAGGCUCGAAAGCAUGGGUAGCGAACAGGAUUAGAUACCCUGGUAGUCCAUGCCGUAAACGAUGAAUGCUAGGUGUUGGAGGGUUUCCGCCCUUCAGUGCCGCAGCUAACGCAUUAAGCAUUCCGCCUGGGGAGUACGACCGCAAGGUUGAAACUCAAAGGAAUUGACGGGGGCCCGCACAAGCGGUGGAGCAUGUGGUUUAAUUCGAAGCAACGCGAAGAACCUUACCAGGUCUUGACAUCUUUUGAUCACCUGAGAGAUCAGGUUUCCCCUUCGGGGGCAAAAUGACAGGUGGUGCAUGGUUGUCGUCAGCUCGUGUCGUGAGAUGUUGGGUUAAGUCCCGCAACGAGCGCAACCCUUAUGACUAGUUGCCAGCAUUUAGUUGGGCACUCUAGUAAGACUGCCGGUGACAAACCGGAGGAAGGUGGGGAUGACGUCAAAUCAUCAUGCCCCUUAUGACCUGGGCUACACACGUGCUACAAUGGAUGGUACAACGAGUUGCGAGACCGCGAGGUCAAGCUAAUCUCUUAAAGCCAUUCUCAGUUCGGACUGUAGGCUGCAACUCGCCUACACGAAGUCGGAAUCGCUAGUAAUCGCGGAUCAGCACGCCGCGGUGAAUACGUUCCCGGGCCUUGUACACACCGCCCGUCACACCAUGAGAGUUUGUAACACCCGAAGCCGGUGGCGUAACCCUUUUAGGGAGCGAGCCGUCUAAGGUGGGACAAAUGA
rnacentral:rRNA from 1 species